rnacentral:rRNA from 1 species
CCUACGGGUGGCAGCAGUGGGGAAUAUUGCACAAUGGGGGAAAGCCUGAUGCAGCGACGCCGCGUGAGGGAUGAAGUAUCUCGGAAUGGUAAGCUCCAUUAGCAGGGAAGAAAAUGACGGUACCUGACUAAAAAGCACCGGCUAACUACGUGCCAGCAGCGGCGGUAAUACGGAGGGGGCAAGCGUUAUCCGGAUUUACUGGGUGUAAAGGGGGCGUAGACGGUCUUACAAGCAAGAUGUGAAAGCCCGGGGCUCAACCCCGGGACUGCAUGUGGAACUGUAAGGCUAGAGUGUCGAAGGGGCAGGCGGAAUGCCUGGUGUAGCGGUGAAAUGCGUAGAUAUUAGGAGGAACACCGGUGGCGAAGGCGGCCUACUGGACGAUGUCUGACGUUGAGGCUCGAAAGCGUGGGGAGCAAACAGGAUUAGAUACCCGGGUAGUC